rnacentral:lncRNA from 1 species
UAUUGUGUAAAGCACAAUAUUGAGGGACAGAGAGGCCGGACACGCUGCAGUUCAUGGGAUCGCAAAGAGCUGAACACGAAUUGGUGACUGAACAACAACAAAUUGUGUUGGUUUCUGCCAUGUAUCAACGUGAAUCAGCCAUAGGAUAAACUCAUUAGAAAAAUCAGACUGGAACCAUAUGGGCUGAAGUUUGCCCAAUGAGCCAUGGACUGAAUUAAAGGGACAAGCUGUGUUGCCUUUUCUCCUUAUAGGAUCUUGAGGAUUUGACUGUGAGGUGAGGCUAGGAACCAAGAGUGCCGCCUUCCCAUUCAUGAUGACAUCAUUCCACUAUGUCCUACGUGGGAUCCCCAACUGCUGACACCAUCUGCUCCUGACAUCCACCUGUUGCCACUGUCCUGGCUUGAUGAUCCAUGAUCACCUGGAAUGGAUGACCCUCCUUCUGAGUUAACAGUCACAGAGUCAGUAGUUCUAAUGCUAUGUCACAGUGGCUAUGUUGUUCAUGUCACUUCAUCUCAUCAGAUAGGCAUUUUAUUGCCCUACAUCAUCACAAGAAGAAGGGCAAAUUCUUUACUGUUCGAGCCACCAAGUAGAGGGCAUUUAGCUGCCCCAGACGCAAGGGCUACAACGCUGAACAAGACAGCUUGGCUGCUGUGGUGGCGCCUACAGCCUCCUGGAGCAGACAAUGGAUUUAAAACUACUUUGUCAAUUAUAACCUGA